AUGACAACACAAUGCAAAGAAGACGACAGGAAACUUCUGCUCUUUGUAUCACUGUGGUGGACUUUCGGCAGCGGCACCAGACUGGAUGUUGGCAUCAACAGUCCCCCUAAAGUGAGCGUCCUGCCGCCGUCCAGUGAAGAGAUUUCCACAAAGCAAGCAGCAACACUGAUGUGUGUGGCCAACAAGGGCUUCCCCUCAGACUGGAGUCUGAACUGGAAGGUGGACGGGAUCAGCAGCAGGUCUCAGUACAGCAGUGUUGCUCUCCUGGAGAAGGACGGUCUGUACAGCUGGAGCAGCAGUCUGACUCUCUCUGAGCAGGAGUGGAGCUCAGUGAUCUCAGUCAGCUGUGAGCUCACACAGAAAGACCAGCGUGAUAAAGUCACUGGAGAAUUGAGGAGAGAUCAGUGUUCACAGUAGAUCCACUCACUCUCUCCUCUGUCUCACAUCAAGACUAACAGACUAACUGUGUUUCUCUCUCUCAUCUCACAUCUCUUUUCACAAACAACACAAGUCUAUGUCUGCUUUAUUCAUUCACUCAUGAUUGUGUGACAAUUCGUCAAAUAAAAUCAUAUUGUAUCUUUA